AAUCGACUUAAAAAAAAACCUUUUUCAUCAUUAAAUCUACACUCAUUAAUCUAUUCAUCCAUUCAUUCCUUUAGCUCAUUCAUUCUUCACAUUAAUUCAUCAUUUAAUCAUUUUAUUUUACAGCUCUUCAUAAAAAAAUAUCGUGUUUAAAAAGUGUUCCAGUGAAGACUUGUGUCAUUAUUUGUUUAAAUUAAUUUUGUGGCUUAGCAAAAGUGUUUCAGGGAUCCAGUGACAUCGAUAAUUUUCUCUUUUUCAUUGUGAACAUUUAGAAGAAGUGGGCACAAUGGGGAAGAGAAAAGCAGAGAGGACUCCGAAGAAGACGCGCCGGGCCUGGACUGGUGACACAGUGGAUAAGAGAGGGUGUUCUUUUCAUGGCCAAACUCAGGCGAUGAUUUACUACCUUCAUGGAUACUUCGUAAAGGAGAAAAUCAAUAAUGGACCUUUGAUUGCCGUAUCCCGAGUGAGAAUUUCAGAACCAUCUGGGUGACAGACAACGGAGAAUCUACACCUGAGCAUUUGGAAGAGUAAAAACAAUACACAUAUUAAACAAAUGGUUGAAAAAGCUAUUCACUAUUCACUAUUCACUAUUACUAUUAUUAGUUUCACUAUUUUUGAAACUUUUGGUCAACUGUUGGAGAAUUAGACAAGUCAAUUACUAUUAUUAAUUUAUUAAGUAUUAAUUUUCACGUAUUUCCUCAUAAUUUUGUUAUCAAUUCAUUGUUUUUUCAUCAAAAACGAAAAAAACAAAACAGGAAAUUAUUUUUCAUGUAUUUUGAACACGCCGUACGCGGAGGGAUACACCACCGUCCCACCGCGCAUGCGCGCGUCGGUGGUGGGGGAAGUAGGGGUUAGAUGGAAAGAUCACUC